CAUCAUAAAUAUUUCAGUAUUGAACCAAUAUUUGCAGGUGCACCUUACUUUGAUUGUGUAGGGCUCCGGCCUUAUAUAAACCACACCCUUGUAUAAAAUACUCUAUAGUUCUUAAUAAAAAGAAAAAGCUCACAUAGAGUUGAGGUUCUAAACAAUCAAAGUAGAGCCCACUUUAAAUUGAUCGUUUCGACAUCAAGAUGUAUG
rnacentral:lncRNA from 1 species